rnacentral:rRNA from 1 species
AUGGCAGCCCUCGACACGAUCCACGAGCACAAUGAGCGUGACCUCGAGGCAGGGCACGCUACGCCGCCGUCAUCACUCGUCACGGACAAGGCCCCUCGGCGGGAACGCGAUCGUCGGCGCAACAGCUGCCGCCGGUUCGCCUGGGUCGCCCUUCUCGCCGUGGCAGCCCUCGCCGUCGCCCUCGCGGCCGUCCUCGGGGCUCUUUACCUGGUGCUCGACCCGAAGAUGCCCCUUUACACGGUGCACGCGCUCAACGUGACGGCCUUCGGCAUGGACGACGACAUGACCGCGCGUGCGCGCUUCGACGCGGCGGUCCGGUUCGAGAACCCGAACCGCGCCAUCGGCAUCUCGUACGAGGAGGGGUCCAGCCUCGCGGUGUGGUACGACGGGUACCGGCUGUCCGAGGGCGCGCUGCCGGCGUUCUACCAGGGGCACGGCGACGCCGCGGUUGUGCACGUCGCCAUGAGCGAGGCGCGGCUGGGUGGCACGGGGGUGGUGGAGGCCAUGCGGCACGUGAACGGGGCCGGCGGCGAGCUGCCGCUGGUGUUCCGCGGCGAGGUGCCGGUGCGGGUGAAGGUCGGGCCGGUGACGACCGGCAAGGUGACGCCCCGUGUCCGGUGCGACCUGGUGCUGGACAGGCUGAGCACCGAGGGCCGGAUCGGGGUCAAUAGGAUGAGCUGCAACUUGAAGCUAUGGUGA